GCCCCAGACUCCUACGGGAGGCAGCAGUGGGGAAUAUUGCACAAUGGGCGCAAGCCUGAUGCAGCCAUGCCGCGUGUAUGAAGAAGGCCUUCGGGUUGUAAAGUACUUUCAGCGGGGAGGAAGGCGAUAAGGUUAAUAACCUUGUCGAUUGACGUUACCCGCAGAAGAAGCACCGGCUAACUCCGUGCCAGCAGCCGCGGUAAUACGGAGGGUGCAAGCGUUAAUCGGAAUUACUGGGCGUAAAGCGCACGCAGGCGGUCUGUCAAGUCGGGUGUAAAAUCCCCGGGCUCAACCUGGGAACUGCAUUCGAAACUGGCAGGCUGGAGUCUUGUAGAGGGGGGUAGAAUUCCAGGUGUAGCGGUGAAAUGCGAAGAGAUCUGGCGGAAUACCGGUGGCGAAGGCGGCCCCCUGGACAGAGACUGACGCUCAGG
rnacentral:rRNA from 1 species